AGAUUGAACGCUGGCGGCAGGCCUAACACAUGCAAGUCGAGCGGCAGCACGGGUACUUGUACCUGGUGGCGAGCGGCGGACGGGUGAGUAAUGCCUAGGAAUCUGCCUGGUAGUGGGGGGAUAACGCUCGGAAACGGACGCUAAUACCGCAUACGUCCUACGGGAGAAAGCAGGGGACCUUCGGGCCUUGCGCUAUCAGAUGAGCCUAGGUCGGAUUAGCUAGUUGGUGAGGUAAUGGCUCACCAAGGCGACGAUCCGUAACUGGUCUGAGAGGAUGAUCAGUCACACUGGAACUGAGACACGGUCCAGACUCCGUACGGGAGCAGCAGUGGGAAUAGUGGACAAGUGGGACGAAAGCCUGAUCCAGCCAUCGCCGCGUGUGUGAAGAAGGUCUCGGAUUGUAAAGCUAACGUUUAAGUUGGAGGAGG
rnacentral:rRNA from 1 species